rnacentral:rRNA from 1 species
AUACCGGCAGCCCGAGUGGUGGCCACUAUUAUUGGGCCUAAAGCGUCCGUAGCCGGUCUGGAAAGUCUCCACUUAAAUCUCCGGACUCAAUCCGGAGGUUGGUGGAGAUACUUCCAGACUAGGGGCCGGGAGAGGCCGGAGGUACUCCCGGGGUAGGGGUGAAAUCCUAUAAUCCCGGGAGGACCACCGGUGGCAAAGGCGUCCUGCCAGAACGGGCCCGACGGUGAGGGACGAAAGCCAGGGGCGCGAACGGGAGUAGAAACCCUAGUAGUCC